AGGGUCCUUCUCGGCGCUCGGGGCUGACUAACCAGCAAACAGCCACCUUGACAGCCCAGCUCCCACGUAGCAGCUCUGAUUCCUUGAUCAUUCCUUUGGAACACCUGAGAAGAAGUCCUAAAAUGACAUCCUUUUCCUUCCUGAGAUCUGGUGUUCCAUUGACAUUUGGGGAGACAAAUUUAGUGAUCUCAGGGUUUAACCCUGCAGCAGCUGCUUUCUGGAAGCCUUCUGUGAUAUCAGUUUGACCGUGCACAGCACAGCCUUUGGUCAUGUGCACAGAUGGAUUGCCACCUGGACUCCAGCUCACCACACUGCAGUCAAGAAGUUGUUCCAAGAUUUCCCUGGUGGUCCGGUGGUUAAUACACAAUGCUCCCAGUGCAGGGGGCACAGGUUUGAUCCCUGGUUGGGGAACAAAGACCCCUGUAUGCUUCCUGGUGAGGGCAAAAUAAAAUCAACAAAAACCCUAACUUGUCCCCAGUCAGACAGCUGGGUUAUCAUGAAUGAGACUCACAUUGUGAGUUCCUUUUUCAGGGAGCACAGCCUUGAACUGCUUGUGAUCCAUUGCUGAAACCCAAAUGCCUCCUAUAUCUGACCCAUUACUACACUUGUUUAUGAUCGGAAUGCUACUCUGGUACUAGUUAUUGCAUUAUAGUCAGCAUCAUUUUAAUCUUUAUAUAAUAUUAAUGACAGUUCUUUAUAUUUGUUAAACAUAUAGGCUCUGACAGUAAAGAAUCUGUCUGCAGUGCAGGAGACCCGAGUUCAGUCCCUGGAUCGGGAAGAUCUCUGGAGAGGGGAAUGGCAACCCACUCCAGUAUCCUUGCCUGGAGAAUCCCAUGGACAGAGGAGUCUGGCAGGCCACAGUCUGUGGGGUCGCACAGAGUCGGAUAUGAUUGGUGCCUGAGUUGGUGAUGGACAGGGAGGCCUGGCGUGCUGCGAUUCAUGGGGUUGCAAAGAGUCGGACACGACUGAGCGGCUGAACUGAACUGAACUGAACUGUACACUUUACACUGUAGUUUUGACCAUACGACCUUCUUGUGAAUACGCAAAAAAUAAAAAUAUAAGUGAAAGGAAUUGAGUACUUUUC
rnacentral:lncRNA from 1 species